rnacentral:rRNA from 1 species
UCCACGAAGUUGGAUUCGCUAGUAAUCGCGCAUCAGCCAUGGCGCGGUGAAUACGUUCCCGGGCCUUGUACACACCGCCCGUCAAGCCAUGGGAGCCGGGGGCGCCUGAAGUCCGGGACCGCGAGGACCGGCCUAGGGCGAAACUGGUAACUGGGGCUAAGUCGUAACAAGGUACC